ensembl:lncRNA
GGCAAAUCUCCUGUGUGACUGGAAGGUGUGGAAGCUGGCUCCACCCCUCCUCGACACCAUUUAAGGGAUGACUGCCACUGGGAAGAAUUUCUUUCUGGUGGUCCUUCCUUUGUGGAGCUUUUUAUUGUGAGCCUAAAUCUUUGGAUAUAUCCCACAAGAGAAACAUUUCGGAGAGGGUUGCUCUAUAAUUUACAUUCUUAUUGUCAAAUCUGGGAAAUGAAGCACAGAUACUUUAUGAGGAAUGGCUUGUUCAUUUUAAAUGGGAAAGAAACGAAUUUGAAAUAUAACUGCCUGGCAAACAAAUUUGAAGGUGAUUAAAUCAACCAUAUUUAAAGACCGGUGAGUCCAGAGGUUUUGAUACCCAGCACAAGAACACCCACCUAUUCUCCAUUUUCAUUUCUGCU